ACAUGACAUUUGUGCGGGAACUUCUUCCAUUGAUAUCGUAAUUUACUAUUGAAUUUGGAUUAUUGUGUUUGGAUGUAAGGUGAUGUUAUAUGAUUUGUUUGUUCUUCUACAGUACAUAGAUUGUACAUAAAUUGACGUCAGUAUUCAAAGCUGUUCCCGUUCAGUGCAGUUCCAGCACAAGUACAUAUAAGCAUUACACGGUCACCCACACUAUACAUUCAAAUACUAGCAAGUCCAGUAACCCAGUCCAACCGUACCCAACAAAGUUCACAGAUUGGUGGAGCAUCAAAAGAUACAAGCGGUACCUAUGCCAAAAAGAACUAUACUUUUGGGUGGGUUAAUUAUUCUUAUUCGCAAUAUUCAAAUACCAGGGUUACUGAUAUAUUUAAUUCUAUUCAUGUUUCUAUAUGUAUGUUUUUAUUAUGUAUGUUCAUUGUUCAUUGUAUUGUCAUUAUACACUUGCAUUGGUGACCAGCAAACAAUAAACAUCUAUUUGUAUACAAGUUUGUUCUUCUUCCAGUAUUCAAAGCUGUUCCCGUUCAGUGCAGUUCCAGCACAAGUACAUAUAAGCAUUACACGGUCACCCACACUAUACAUUCAAAUACUAGCAAGUUCAGUAACCCAGUCCAACCAAACCCAACAAAGUUCACAGAUUGGUGGAGCAUCAAAAGAUUCAAGCGGUACCUAUGCCAAAAUCAAGACUAGAACAGAAAGAAACCAAUCCAUUAAAUUCUAAAGACCAUCCAGCAACAAGAGCUUUUUCAAGACAGAACACAGACUGAGAUACAGUUCAAAGUAUCCCAGAUAAUUUUGAGCAGGAUAUAGGUUUGGUAAUGCUAAAUAACGACACAGGUUAAACAACUGUAUCAAAUGACACUGAUUCAGGAGAAGAAUCAGACAUUGAAGAGUUAGAUAAUAUUUCAGUAAAUUCAGAUAACUCAAUAAUUUCAUUUAACUUCAAUUUAGACUCUGAAAUGGCUUCAGGAUUAUCUUUACAAAAAUUCAGUGACGAAAGCUGUUGCGUGCCAGCAAUAUGGUGGAAUCUGUUUGAAUCCUACAGAGCGUUACAUAAUGUUGACAAUAAUAAGGCAUUGUCAGUUCUACCAUUACAACUGACAGGACAUGCAUCGUUAUGGUUUCAUAACCUUGAUGCGAAUACAAAAGUCAACAAAGAUAAUUAAAAGCAGCAUUUUUAGCUAGAUUUUCAAAUACAAAAACAAACCAACAAAUAUAUAAACUCCAACAAACUAUUUUAGAAAGCAGUCAGUCGUAUUUGGCUCGAGUUCAACAAUUAGCUAUGGGAUCAGAAAAUUUAGGAGAAGCUGUUAUUGUUGACAUUGCAGUUAAUGGUUUACAACCGAAUUUAAAACAAACAGUAAUACAAAAAUCACCAAAGACUUUUGAAGAACUCAGAAAUUCUUUAGAAAUAGAUACUAGUGUGGCUAAAUGUGCUAACUCUAGUACACCAUGCACUUCUCAAGAUAUUAAUGCUAUGUUCUCAUCUUUUUUAGAGUCUAUGAAAUCUGUUGUAAAACAAGAAGUGAUGGCAGUCACACCUCAUUCGACACCAACCCCUAAUUAUCCUGAAAGACAAGAGACAAGGCAAUACAGACAAGAUUAUGUGUGCUUUGGUUGUGAUAAUUAAACGAUUGCUGUAUGUAGCCUUACUUGUAACUAUGAAGUUGGAUGCAAAAGAGCCGGAAUGGAAAUUCACCGCCAGCUCUGACCAGGUCUCUGUACAGCUCACUUGGAUCAAGGCUAAGGAACCGGACACAUUAUCCAGGAAAAAGCCUUACAUGUAUUUAUAACACGUCGACAACAGAAAAAGGCAGGCGUAGUAGGAUCGACGUUGAUGAAGGGUUUGACAUCGACAAACUGACCUACUGACCACACAACCGCAAAGAAGCUAUAGAAGCUGCCAUACUGUCAGAACGGCCAAACACUCUGUACCAGCAACAACAUCGCAGUUGGAGUAAGAUGAAAGCAAAAAGGCAGGCAGAUCCAAAUCUGUAAUUUCGUACAUUAGUCCGCAAUAUCCAAAAGGAUAGCCGGACCCUAAAACCAAUCAUCAUCAUGCUCUUCAAAAUAAUAGUGAUGAAAUAAUUGGUGUGUGAAAUGAACUGAGGAUGCGAAUGACUAAGUUCGAGUUGGAUCUUAUUAUUACUGUUGUUGAAAUUGUUCAACUGUAUGAAAAAAUACAAACAGAUAACUUGAUUUUCAGUUGUUUUAAUAUAUUAAAUAUCUUGAAUCCCUGUAAAGCGAGAGUACCCAAAUUGCACCUAUUUUGACAGUUUUUUUUACCUACGUUUACUUAUGAUCCAGACAAAAGUUUCCAUUCUGGGUUUAUUUUGUAGAUGUAUUCUUAUAUAUUUACUAUAUAAUUCCACCAAUUAAAUUUUGAAUCCAUAUUGAAUCAUAGAAAAAUGGGUUUGAACCGACCUCCAAACGAUCCAUGAUUCUGUAAUGAGGAGUAUCCAAAUGCAUCCAUGCUUACAUUCGAAUAACAGAUGUUUUGUUUUAUUUCUUCAGAUAUUUAGAACAGUGUGACAUAAGUCCAUGCUUACUUUUUAUUUUUUUAAGAAAUGGAUGCUUGUGACAUGUUUUAUUUGCUAAUUUUUAAAAGAUGACUUUUAGUGAACGUCGCAUGGCUACGUUUCCAUAGAUUUUACUUUUUCCAGUGAAUACGUCAUCUGAUGAUAUAUACAGUGACAAUUUUGUGCAUAUCUACAUAUAUUUAGCUAUGUUGAGAGACGUGCAUAAUGUCAAAUCAUAAAAAUACAAAAUGUUUUAGUCUCUAAAAAUAACUGUAAGAUUUCCGCUGCUUCUUUUGCUAAAUAGGUGCAAUAUGGGACUUGGUGCAAUUUGGGUACUGUGACGUUACACUUCAGUACAAAUCAAAGAAAAAUAAUUAUCUGGUGGCAGCAUUACAACAUCAAUAUUCGGCGAAAUUUUGAACAAACUUAAACAUACUUUAUUCAAAUAUUUUACAUUAAACAACAAGACAACAAAAUAAAAUAAAAAACAGGGCGAACAGACCCAGGGCGAACGGGUAUCAGGGCCAACGGACCCAGGGCGAACAGGUAUUUGGACGAACAGGUACAUGUACUAGGGCAACGUGAAUCAGGGCGAACGGACCCGGAUUCGUUAUGUUGGAGACUGUUUUGAAUAAAGGAGAUCAGGUAUGAAUAUUGACACUAAGUCUAGUAAAUAAUUUGAGAAUGAAUGCAUAUAAUGUAAUUUUAUUCUUUUAUUCACAAUAUAUAUAUUGUUGUUGGCUGUGAUUCUGACCAGUGCUAAUAUACUAAAUAUACAUUUACAUAUACACUGUGAUGUUUAUUGUUGUAAUUAUCAAUUAUGUCAAUCAAUUGUAACUGAUUUUAUGGUCUUUAUGGGCCCUGUAAUUUGGGAAAUAAAAAUAUUCUAUUU